GAUGAACGCUGGCGGCGUGCUUAACACAUGCAAGUCGAACGGAAAGGCUCCUGCUUGCAGGGGUACUCGAGUGGCGAACGGGUGAGUAACACGUGGGUGAUCUGCCCUGCACUUCGGGAUAAGCCUGGGAAACUGGGUCUAAUACCUGAUAGGACGAUGGUUUGGAUGCCAUUGUGGAAAGUUUUUUCGGUGUGGGAUGAGCUCGCGGCCUAUCAGCUUGUUGGUGGGGUAAUGGCCUACCAAGGCGUCGACGGGUAGCCGGCCUGAGAGGGUGUACGGCCACAUUGGGACUGAGAUACGGCCCAGACUCCUACGGGAGGCAGCAGUGGGGAAUAUUGCACAAUGGGCGCAAGCCUGAUGCAGCGACGCCGCGUGGGGGAUGACGGCCUUCGGGUUGUAAACUCCUUUCGCUAGGGACGAAGCGCAAGUGACGGUACCUGGAGAAGAAGCACCGGCUAACUACGUG
rnacentral:rRNA from 1 species